GAGGGGGGCAAGCGUUGUUCGGAAUUAUUGGGCGUAAAGGGUGCGUAGGCGGCCCCAUAAGUCUCGUGUGAAAUCUCUGGGCUCAACUCAGAGUCUGCACGGGAAACUGUUGGGCUGGAGUAUGGGAGAGGUGAGUGGAAUUCCUGGUGUAGCGGUGAAAUGCGUAGAUAUCAGGAGGAACACCUGUGGCGAAAGCGGCUCACUGGACCAUAACUGACGCUGAGGCACGAAAGCUAGGGGAGCAAACAGGAUUAGAUACCCUGGUAGUCCUAGCCCUAAACGAUGAUCGCUUGGUGUGGCGGGUACCCAAUCCCGUCGUGCCGUAGCUAACGCGUUAAGCGAUCCGCCUGGGGAGUACGGUCGCAAGGCUGAA
rnacentral:rRNA from 1 species